rnacentral:lncRNA from 10 species
CCUGGGAAUAUUAAUAUAAUUUGAAGUGGAGCUUUUCUGGGCAAGAGAUCUUGUGCUGGUGCUUUAGGCAAUUUGAUGAGUCCUCUUCUAGGGUCUCUGGAAGCUUUCUUGUAGGUGGCCAUGGUCUGAUAUGCACACCAGGAGCAGAGCUUUGAGCUUCUGACGUUGGAGCAAUUGCUGACCAUCCUGACAAGGGAACUGCAGAGCUGGUUUUGAGAACUACUUCCAGAGAACAGGGAGAACAGCACCAAAAGCUAAAAGAAAGGUGUAGAACAGAUUCUCCCCUAGAGCCUUCAGAAAGCAUAGCCCUGCUGACACCUUGAAGGAGGGAGUGGCUAAUAGCAUGCCAUGAUUGACGGUGACCUAGGAAAAUGAAGAAAAGGCUGGAGCGCAUUGGUGCGGUCUCGGGCUCACUGC